rnacentral:rRNA from 1 species
UUUCCCUACGGGACGCAGCAGUGGGGAAUAUUGCACAAUGGGGGAAACCCUGAUGCAGCGACGCCGCGUGAGCGAUGAAGUAUUUCGGUAUGUAAAGCUCUAUCAGCAGGGAAGAAAAUGACGGUACCUGACUAAGAAGCCCCGGCUAACUACGUGCCAGCAGCCGCGGUAAUACGUAGGGGGCAAGCGUUAUCCGGAUUUACUGGGUGUAAAGGGAGCGUAGACGGCAUGGCAAGCCAGAUGUGAAAUACCGGGGCUCAACCCCGGGACUGCAUUUGGAACUGUUAAGCUGGAGUGUCGGAGAG